UACAGAGGUCCCGAGCGUUGUUCGGAUUCACUGGGCGUAAAGGGUGCGUAGGCGGCCUAUUAAGUCAGUGGUGAAAUCCUGCAGCUUAACUGUAGAACAGCCAUUGAUACUGAUGGGCUUGAGUUCAGACGAGGUAGGCGGAAUUUAUGGUGUAGCGGUGAAAUGCAUAGAUACCAUAAAGAACACCGAUUGCGAAGGCAGCUUACUAGACUGACACUGACGCUGAGGCACGAAAGCGUGGGGAGCAAACAGG
rnacentral:rRNA from 1 species